rnacentral:rRNA from 1 species
GUGGUCCUACGGGGGGCAGCAGUGAGGAAUAUUGGUCAAUGGCCGGAAGGCUGAACCAGCCAAGUCGCGUGAGGGAAUAAGGCCCUAUGGGUCGUAAACCUCUUUUGUCAGGGAGCAAAGGCGUCCACGUGUGGACGAGAGGAGAGUACCUGAAGAAAAAGCAUCGGCUAACUCCGUGCCAGCAGCCGCGGUAAUACGGAGGAUGCGAGCGUUAUCCGGAUUUAUUGGGUUUAAAGGGUGCGUAGGCGGACGCCUAAGUCAGCGGUAAAAUUGCGGGGCUCAACCUCGUCGAGCCGUUGAAACUG